rnacentral:rRNA from 1 species
GCUUGUCUCAAAGAUUAAGCCAUGCAUGUCUAAGUAUAAACAACUUUAUACUGUGAAACUGCGUACAGCUCAUUAUAUCAGUAAUUAUUUAUUUGAUGGUACCUUACUACAUGGAUAACCGUAGUAACCUAGAGCUAAUACAUGCGUAAAAUCCCGACUUCUGGAAGGGAUGUAUUUAUUAGAUAAAAAACCAAUCCGGGCAACCGGUUCUUUGGUGACUCAUAGUAACUGUUCGAAUCGCAUGGCCUUGUGCCGGCGAUAGUUCAUUCAAAUUUCUGCCCUAUCAGCUUUCGACGGUAGUGUAGUGGACUACCGUGGCUCUAACGGGUGACGGAGAAUUAGGGUUCGAUUCCGGAGAGGGAGCCUGAGAAACGGCUACCACAUCCAAGGAAGGCAGCAGG